CACGUAGGUGGCGAGCGUUGUCCGGAAUUACUGGGUGUAAAGGGCGUGUAGGCGGGGCAGCAAGUCAGAUGUGAAAUACCGGGGCUCAACCCCGGGGUUGCAUUUGAAACUGCAGUUCUUGAGUGCAGGAGAGGGAAGCGGAAUUCCUAGUGUAGCGGUGAAAUGCGUAGAUAUUAGGAGGAACACCAGUGGCGAAGGCGGCUUCCUGGACUGUAACUGACGCUGAGGCGCGAAAGCGUGGGUAGCGAACAGGAUUAGAUACC
rnacentral:rRNA from 1 species